UUUUUUUUUUUUUUGAGAUGGGGUUUCACCAUAUUGGUCAGGCUGGUCUCGAACUCCUGACCUCAAGUGAUUCACCCACCUCAGCCUCCCAAAGUGCUGGGAUUAUAGGCGUGAGCCACUGCACCCAGCCUAGCCCCAUUUUUCACAUGAAGAGACCGAGACCCAGUUUACCAACCACUGCCCCAUCCCACACAUUUCGGGGCACAGAAGGGACAGGGCCAGGGAAGAAAUGGGGCUGCUAGACCUCAGCCCACCCUGCAGCAGGAAGGGAAUCUAGGGACAGGGACAGCAGCACUCCAGGCUCAGAAAGCCAAAGACCCCUGUCACACUCAGACUGCAAAAGGACAGGCAACUGAGACCUAAGCACCCUCCUCCCCAGUAAAACUGAGCUCAGCACUGGGGCCAGCACCACCCCCACCCCACUAAGUUUAGCCCCAUUGGUGAGAAGGGGUGCAGUAAACAUUUGUUGACUGGGUGGAACCUCAGAGGUGGCCCUCAUGGGAUAGGCUGGCCUGGGUGAAGAAAUCUGAGGCUGCCCCAGUCUGGAGGAUGGGGGUGGUUAAGUCACGCCUAAGUGCAGAGGCACACACUUGCAUACACACAGCGCACACGCAUGCGUAUACACACAGUGGGACUGGCAGCAAGGAGAGACGCCCUGAAUAAGGAGGAGCUGGGAGAGGUUGUUGCCAGACCAAGGGAGACAGCUGCAGAUAUGUGGCCGGGGCACCAGCACAGGGCCCUCCCAGACAGUUGUGUCAUCCCAGGAGUGCCCUGGCACCUCCAGCCAGGUUGAAGAUGAGCUCACAGGCUGGAAGGGAUGUCUCCAACCCCUCAGGGCCUGGAAUAGCUGUUUGUACAGAAAACAGGUGGACCCAGCACACCAGGACACUAAGUGUCUGGAGUGGAGGGGGUUAUACUGGACCCGAGUGGAAAGAUAAGCCUGGGAUAGGGUUCCUGCUCUUUGGGCUUUCUGAGAUCUGCCUUCAGGAGAGACCCACUGCACAGAACUUUUCUUGCUCAAUGCUCACCAAUAUCCACUGCAGCAUUUAUGACAGCAAAGCAUGGAGCAAAACAGGCUCACCUAUCAAUGCUAAUUCUAGGGGACUGGUGAGACAAACCACAGCGCCUCAAUAGAAUAGCUUGCAGCUAUUAGAUGGCCUCUUCCAAAGACUGAAAUAAUGCAAGAAAAUGCUUACAACAAACUAAAGUGAAAAGAGCAGGCUAAAACCAGUUUGCACAGUGUAAAGGCACACAGCCCCUUCCCCUCCUGAAGCCUCGGCCUCCCAGCAGCAGGGAGGGUGGACUCGGUUGAUGGCCGGCUCUGGGAGCGGCAGCAGGAGAGGAUUUCCUGAGGCCGGAGGUGAGCACUGCCAGCCCCAGGAACAGGAAGAAACGGUAUCUCUGGUGGGCCAAUGAGAGCUGACACCAUCCCCCUAGGCUGGACACUCACAGUGGCAAGCUCAAAACCAAGGCGAGGCUGGGCAAGGUGGCUCACGCCUGUAAUCUCAGCACUUUAGGAGGUCGAGACUAGCCUGUCCAACAUGGUGAAACUCCGUCUCUACUAAAAAUACAAAAAUUAGCUGGCCGUGGUGGCGGGCACCUGUAAUCCCAGCUACUCAGGAGGCUGAGGCAGGAUAAUUGCUUAAACCAGGAGGUGAAGCAGUGAGCUGAGAUCACGCUACUGUACUCCAGCCUGGGCGAUAGAGCAAGGCUCCAUCUCAAAACAAACAAACAAAAAAAAACAGCUGGGCACAGUGGCUCAUGCCUGUAAUCCCAGCACUUUGGGAGGCCAAGGCGGGCAGAUCAUCUGAGGUCAAGAGUUCAAGACCAGCCUGACCAACAUGGUGAAACCGGAUCUCUACUAAAAAUACAAAAUUAGCCGGGCGUGGUGGCACAUGCCUGUAAUCCCAGCUACUCAGGAGGCUGAGGCUGGAGAAUCACUUGAACCCGGGAGGCGGAGGUUGCAGUGAGCCAAGAUGGUGCCAUUGCACUCCAGCCUGGGCGAGAGAGCGAAACUAUGUCUCAAAAAAACAAAAACAAAACCCAGGCGAGGGCACGGAACCUUUGCGGAUAGCACAGAGGUGAACCUACUGUCAAACACAGAACGGACAGCCCACACCCCAACACCAGUCAUUCCUCACUGCUGCCCUGGGACCAGGACGGAACGAUGGCUACCUGGAGGCAGAGAGAGGGGCAAUGCCCCACGCAGCUCCCAUGGCCAGCAGAGCUCGCACCUUCCACCUCAUAACCCAGGCGUGUGCCUACUGAGAGGGAGACAAUGGCCCAGCACACAAGGACUGAGAGUGAGCCAUAGAAACAAUGGGGCUUGACCUGGAGGACACACGCAGGGCUGCAGCAAAGCCAAGUCCAAGGCCAGGGGUGAAGGUAAGCAGACAGAGGGAAGGUGGUGUGGGCCCCAGAACACCAGGGCACCAGUGGUAGGAAAUGGGGAGGUGUGCAGGUAUCACCCAGGCCCCCCACUCACCCUCCCGGCUGUAGGCCCCUCCCUUAAGGAGCCAUGAUCCCCAGGCAGGGGUGGAACCAGCCUCCCUCAGAGGCCCUGCCUGCCCCGUGCUGGCCCGACUGCUGCAGACCACACCUGAGCAGAGGCCUGCACCACUGCAGCGGCUCCCAUGGCCUGCAAUGCCGCCUCAUUCCUGGGGGCACUUGGAACAGGGCAGCAGCUGCAUAGAUGCAAUGGGGCCAGCUGGUUGCCCCAAUGCAGGUCACUCUCUGGGUGGAGUGAAGACAAGGACCUGACCAUCCAAGGCUCAAGAGGCCAGGGUCCUGCAGGCCAUGCCCGGGCAGGGGAGAGGCCAGGGUCAUCCCACCACCAAGGCCUUGGCAGAAACCACACUGACCAUAAAGAAAGGGCCACAGAACCCUAGGGGCAGAGGCCAAUCAGCCUGGGCCCAGCCCAGCCUCCUCCCCACGCUGGCUGCCCAGGAGUCAGGAAUGGGUCUGAGCCACUGCACUAGCCAACCAUGGCCACAUGAAGACAAUAAUCUCCACAGCAGUAGCUGCUGUUACUUAAUCACCCUCCUUCUAACAGCUCUGGUCACCCCUCACCAAAUUCUCACAAAAUCCCAGGAGCUCUGUGCUCUUAACAUCCCCAUGACACAGAGGAGGAAACUGAGGCUCAGGGAGGUUCAGUAACUCACUCAAGGCACAGAGCCAACACUGUUCACUCUAGAGCCCUUGCCCUUGACCCACCAAAACACUCUCCCCACCCCGAAGCAGCCUCUCCAGGAACCCCUUUCAGCCUCAAGCAAGGCUCUGAGGAGAGUGGCUGAGAUCCCAGGCUCUGCAUGGGGAUACAGCCACUGGCCUGUGGGGGCUCCACGGUACUCCUGGGGCCACAUACUCAGCAGGCGGCCAGGGGCAAGCUGCAGCCAGAAGGCACAGAGAGACAGCGGGGCAAGCAGUCAUGGGUUCUGCAGUGUGAAGAGGGAGCCUGACACAACCACAUCACCCCACCAACAAAUGGACAAUGGCAGACGGCGCCGGGAAGGCUUCCUAUGGAUGAUGGCGCAGAGCUUGAGGUGAAUGGGAAUGACCUGGUGAACGAGGCAGCUGGCUGGAGAUCACUUCCUACAGAGGGAGGGACAGGCUAAGCCAAGGCCCAGCGGCAGAAGAGGGUGCGGCAGGGGCAGUGGGGCCUGAGCUGCGGACUUUGAACCUGGACACUGCCUCAUCCCACUCUCUCUGUCCACUGCCUGGCUGCCAGGCCAGCUAUGAACCCCAGGGCAGACCUCAUGGCUCCUUGGGCAGCUCCCCCACUCACACCACUGCCUGGCACAGAGCCAGUCCCAGGAUUGCUGGCCAAGGUUUCAACCAGAUGCUGAGGCUGGUCUACUCAUCUCCAUCUACCACUGCUGGGGCUGGCUGGGGCUAGACCCACCCUGCUGCACAGCCUUGGGUGCUACCUGCUCUGAGCCCAGGGUGCUUUGCCUCCCAGGGACGCAGAAGAGGUGACACAAACUCAUCUUUGGGAAGCCAUAGGUGGAGGGUUGGCUGCUGUCCACAGCUCAACAGGCUGCAGUCCCCACAAGUAGAGGCCAUGCAGGAUGAUGCUUAUUUUAUGGCUUUGGAUCCUGUCAUAUUUGGCUCCCACCCUGGCUCCACCUCUCACUGGCCAUGUGACCCUGGCAAGACACAGGCCCUCUGUGGGCCUGUGAGGUCCUGAGCCCAGUGCCCAGCACACAGGGCAGCAUCCCUGAAAGGAGCCAUCCCUCAACGAAGGAGCACAGGAGGAGGUGGAGUGGCCACACUCACUUCACAGAUGGGAAGCAAGAAGCAGAACAGACAGCAGGGAGGCCUCUCUGCAGCUGGAAGCUGGCCUCUUACCUGGCAGGGCUGGGGGUGGCCAGCACCUGCCACCCCUAAACAUGGACUCCCAAGCCAAUGCCAGCCAGAGGUCUGAGGUGGGUGGCACAUUUCCUUCCAAAUGUGUCCUCUCAGCUGCAGGAAGAGUCAGGCCCAGAGCGCUGGGCGAGAGGAAGGCAUGGGAAUACGCACAGGGUGUGCAGGCACCACGCGAGCACUGCACUGCUCUAUGCCUGGAGCAGAGGAAGGGGCACUGAGCAGGUAGCCGGGACGCCCUGGCUCCUUCCCCUCUCUGGGUCCGGGACUGCAUGUGAGUCAAAUGACAAGGUGACACCAGCUGAUCCCUGGCAUCUCCCCUCCCCCAACACUCAGGGGGUCGCUACCCGCACAACCAGCCCACCAAUCUCUCACCCUGCUUCCCCUCCCAUCCCCUUCUGAAGCAUCUUAUAAUUUCUGUGGGCCAAAGUGCCUGCUGCGUCAGCCCAUCUAGGAAAAGACUGCCCAAAUGGAUGGGUGUGCUUAAAACCCAGACGUGUCCCUGAGCAGUCGCCACUCUGGGUUCCAAGGGCAGGGCUUGAGCAGGCAGCUCGGUCUGGAAGCCUCCGCAGGGCCUCCUCAGCACAUGAAAGCAAUUUUCCGAACACUUCACGACUGUUCCAAAAAUGAAUUCUCCUCUUGGCCCCACCACCUCACACACUGCCCAAGGUCCCAGGAGAGAGAGCCACGGUGAUCUGCCAGCCAGCCACGUAGGGGGCAGAUGGCAAAGACCUCUGCCCACCCCCAGCAGAAUUCUCCUGGGCUGUGACUACAAGGGAGAGGGUAGGAGAUGACUCAGAGCCCGUGAUGGUGUGGCCAGGCUGCAGGUCCCCACGACAGUGCCUAUCUGUCCAAGUCCUACCCAGCCCGCUGUCCCUCUCUUGUUACAGAUGAGGCACAGUGCCAAAGAAGGCUGCCCAAAGUCCUGUAAGGCAAGGGGUCAGGGUGCCAUCCCAGACUCCAUGCCCAGAGCUUGACUCUUACUGUGGACAACCAAACCAAAUCAAACGGGGACCUCCCCAUAGAGGCCCGCCCAGGCUGGGAUGUGGCCAGAGUGACAUUCCCUAAUCGCUACUGCCCUGGGAUACCGGCCCUCCAGCAGGCUCAGGUGGUCCACCUUGUCCCUCUGCCCAGUGCCCACAGGAGCAGGGCUGGCCAGUCCCCUGAGGCCCUGGGCCAGAGAAGUCCAGAACUUUCCAGGAGAGCAGAACAGAAGAGAGGAAGGGCUUGGCAGGCAUGCUCUGUCUUCUUUCUUUCUGAAGACGAGACGAUUAUGCUCUGAACCAGAACGGAUGGCGGGGCUCACAUCAGCACAGUCUGGAAGCCCUCAUUUUUUCAUCUGUAAAUGCAUUACCACUUCUGGAGGCGAGCAGGAGAGGGCUCUUUAAUUCCACAAUGACAAUGCUUUGCACUUGGCCAGCUUCCCUCUGGUCAUCUGCACUCACUCUGGGAUAGUUAAUGAAAAGGCCACUUGCCAGAAAGCCCCCACUGCCUGCUUCACGGAAAGGAUGGGGUCCUCCGGGUGAGGAGCAGUUCCAGAAACAAGGCCAGACUGGACAGGGCUCUGGAGGGAAAAGCCCCUAACUAGGCAGGGAAACGAUGGCUGGAGGCCACAGCUCACCAGGUGCAGAUGGUGUCCCUUCCUGGCAGGAUGCCGGGGUGUCCGCCUCCCACCUACCACUUCGGUCUGUCCAUCUGUCAUGUGGGGCCUGCACCUGAGGCCUGGUUACCCGGGGUAGCCAGGACCACUUGCUGUCCUCAGGAGGUGAGACUGAGAUGCUCAGAGAUGCCAGUGCCCAAGUGUGGAAACAUGGCCCGGGGGUCUGCCGAAGCCAGGCUGCCCGGCCAGGAAGAGGGGGUGUCGGACAGAAAACUCCCUACGGUCAGCGGGGAGGAAGCGGCCAGUCAGGGCCCCGGGGGUUCCGCAGCGAGAGGAAAACUUCCCAGGAAAGUGAGCCCAUCCGCCGUGGAGGGCAGGCACGGCUCCCAUCCAGCCAAGCCGUCCUGGGGGAGGGGUGGCUCCGGCGACUGGCAGAGACCGCGCCCCAACCUGGCCACCCCGGGGGAGUCCCGGGAGCGCCGCAGGGCAGCAAUCCGAGGGAGGUCUUGCGGGACAGCACAGGCCUCCCACCCCCUCAUCCGGCCCAGCAGUCCCGGAGGGGAGUCCCGGGAGCGGCAGAGACCCCUCCCCGCUAGGCCUAGCCGUCCUGGUGCGGGGUCCUGGCGGGCAGCAGACUCCUGCCUGGCCCAGCUGUCCCA